rnacentral:rRNA from 1 species
GACGAACGCUGGCGGCGUGCUUAACACAUGCAAGUCGAACGAUGAACCCGGAGCUUGCUCUGGGGGAUUAGUGGCGAACGGGUGAGUAACACGUGAGUAACCUGCCCUGGACUCUGGGAUAAGCGUUGGAAACGACGUCUAAUACCGGAUAGGACCUUGGAUCGCAUGAUCUGGGGUGGAAAGUUUUUUCGGUCUGGGAUGGACUCGCGGCCUAUCAGCUUGUUGGUGAGGUAAUGGCUCACCAAGGCGUCGACGGGUAGCCGGCCUGGGAGGGUGACCGGCCACACUGGGACGGAGACACGGCCCAGACUCCGACGGGAGGCAGCAGUGGGGAAUAUGGCACAAUGGGCGAAAGCCUGAUGCAGCAACGCCGCGUGCGGGAUGACGGCCUUCGGGUUGUAAACCGCUUUUAGUAGGGAAGAAGGGCUUCGGCUUGACGGUACCUGCAGAAAAAGGACCGGCUAACUACGUG